UACGUAGGGUCCGAGCGUUGUCCGGAAUUACUGGGCGUAAAGAGCUCGUAGGUGGUUUGUCGCGUUGUUCGUGAAAACUCACAGCUUAACUGUGGGCGUGCGGGCGAUACGGGCAGACUUGAGUACUGCAGGGGGAGACUGGAAUUCCUGGUGUAGCGGUGGAAUGCGCAGAUAUCAGGAGGAACACCGAUGGCGAAGGCAGAUCUCUGGGCCGUAACUGACGCUGAGGAGCGAAAGCAUGGGGAGCGAACAGG
rnacentral:rRNA from 1 species